AUACGGAGGGAGCGAGCGUUAAUCGGAAUUACUGGGCGUAAAGGGUGCGUAGGCGGCUUGAUAAGUCGGAUGUGAAAGCCCCGGGCUUAACCUGGGAAUUGCAUUCGAUACUGUCAGGCUAGAGUAUGUCAGAGGUUGGCGGAAUUCCUGGUGUAGCGGUGAAAUGCGUAGAUAUCAGGAGGAACACCAGUGGCGAAGGCGGCUAACUGGGGCAAUACUGACGCUGAGGCACGAAAGCGUGGGGAGCAAACAGGAUUAGAUACCCUAGUAGUCC
rnacentral:rRNA from 1 species